GCCUGAGUGGCUCAGUUGGUUAAGCAUCUGACUUCAGCUCAGGUCAUGAUCUUGCAGUUUGUGAGUUCAAGCCCCACGUCGGGCU
rnacentral:tRNA from 1 species